rnacentral:rRNA from 1 species
GUCCACGCCGUAAACGAUGUCUGCUAGCCGUCGGGGUCCUUGAGGCCUCGGUGGCGCAGCUAACGCGAUAAGCAGACCGCCUGGGGAGUACGGCCGCAAGGUUAAAACUCAAAUGAAUUGACGGGGGCCCGCACAAGCGGUGGAGCAUGUGGUUUAAUUCGAUGCAACGCGAAGAACCUUACCAGGUCUUGACAUCCAGCGAACUGCCGAGAGAUCGGCGGGUGCCUUCGGGAGCGCUGAGACAGGUGCUGCAUGGCUGUCGU